rnacentral:misc_RNA from 1 species
UUUCCUCAACACAUCAUCAUAUCAAUCCAUCUUUUGAUCAAGUAGGAUCUGUCUGUAAUAGUUGUAGUUGUCCUGCAGUUGCGAAAUAAUUGACCUGUUGCUUUAACUGAAUGAGUCCAUCUUUCUAUAUACUACGUAGAGAUAGUAGCUGGACACUAGGUACGUAGCUCAUCCAAGGAAGCUUGCUAACAACUUCUCUGACAUGAUGAGUAGUAUUUUCAGAUUCACCUUUUGCGUUUGCUCUUCAAAGCUGUAGAAGAGGAAGGAUUACUGUGCCAGUUCCUUUUCCUUUGG